CCUACGGGGUGCAGCAGUGAGGAAUAUUGGUCAAUGGGCGGGAGCCUGAACCAGCCAAGCCGCGUGAGGGAAGAAGGUACAGCGUAUCGUAAACCUCUUUUGUCAGGGAACAAAGGCGGGGACGUGUCCCCGGAUGAGUGUACCUGAAGAAAAAGCAUCGGCUAACCCCGUGCCAGCAGCCGCGGUAAUACGGAGGAUGCGAGCGUUAUCCGGAUUUAUUGGGUUUAAAGGGUGCGCAGGCGGUCUGUUAAGUCAGCGGUCAAAGCCCGGGGCUCAACCCCGGCCCGCCGUUGAAACUGGCAGUCUCGAGUUGGAGAGAAGUAUGCGGAAUGCGCGGUGUAGCGGUGAAAUGCAUAGAUAUCGCGCAGAACUCCGAUUGCGAAGGCAGCAUGCCGGCUCCACACUGACGCUGAGGCACGAAAGCGUGGGUAUCGAACAGGAUUAGAUACCCUAGUAGUC
rnacentral:rRNA from 1 species